rnacentral:lncRNA from 1 species
AUGCAUUUUCUGGGAAAUAUUAUCCUACUAUUUCAAACUGUUUAGUUUAUAUUGUCGCACUAGCUGAUUUGUUUGUUGAAUUUGGCGAGGGCGGGGAUAUUUAUGAACUUGCAAUAAAUGAAAUGAAACAAAAAAUUUAAAAAUAUUUUUUCCCUAUCCCUCGUAUUUUUGGUGUUGCUGCAAUGUUAAAUUCUACAAUGAAAUUGGGAGGUCCUCAUUUUGGUAUU